rnacentral:rRNA from 1 species
ACAUGUCUUUUUAGUAUUUAAUAUAAAGUCUGGCCUGCCCACUGAAUAUAAUGUUUGAAGGGCCGCAGUAUUUUGACUGUGCAAAGGUAGCAUAAUCAUUAGUCUUUUAAUUGAAGGCUGGUAUGAAUGGUCGGAUGAGAUAUAAGCUGUGUCAUAAAAAUUAUUAUUUGAAUUUAACUUUUUAGUCAAAAGGCUAAAAUAAUUUUAAAAGACGAGAAGACCCUAUAGAGCUUUAUAUAGUAAAUGUUUAAAUUAUUAAGAUUUAUUAAAUUUAAUUUUUGUACUUUAUUAUGUUGGGGUGACAAUAAAAUUUAUAAAACUUUUAUUUUUAUUUAACAUUAAUCUAUGGUUAUAUGAUCCAAUUUUAUUGAUUAUAAAUUUAAGUUACCUUAGGGAUAACAGCGUAAUUUUUUUUGAGAGUUCUUAUCGACAAAAAAGAUUGCGACCUCGAUGUUGGAUUAAGAUUAAUUUUGGGUGUAGAAGUUCAAAAUUUAAGUCUGUUCGACUUUUAAAUUCUUACAUGAUC